rnacentral:misc_RNA from 1 species
AAGUCGUAACAAGGUUUCCGUAGGGGAACCUGCGGAAGGAUCAUUAACGUAUUACGCCGUUCACUGCGAACUGUGCGUAUAACGAAAAUAAUCCCCAGUUAUUACAACUACCAAGUAUCCGUCACCGAUUGUUGUGUGUACGGCGUCUCGUGCGUGAUGUAGUCGUUCUCGACGGCGUCCGUGCUUGUACGUAGUAUACUAUGCAGUAUAUCGGUUUCGGCGUCGCGCUAUAGUUCGAUGUAGACAGGUGAAAAUCCGCGCCUCGAGUUGAACUUUGCGUGUACGUAAAUACCAAAAAACUAUGCGGUUUAGAAUUUGUGCGCUCUUAACUGAGCGCACUUUUUUCUAAGAUAUUUUAUUUUUUUAUCUUUCAAUAUGACAUAUAUAUUGUAUCCAUAAACCAUUACCCUGGACGGUGGAUCACUUGGCUCGCGG